AGAGUUGAUCAUGGCUCAGGACGAACGCUGGCGGCGUGCUUCAUACAUGCAAGUCGAACGAGAAUCUGGAGCUUGCUUCAGAGGAAAGUGGCGGACGGGUGAGUAAUAUGUAGAGAAUCUGCCCUUGAGCGGGGGACAACAGAGGGAAACUUCUGCUAAUACCCCAUAUGAGCUUAGUUGAAAUACUAAUCUUGAAAACUCCGGUGCUCAAGGAUGAGUCUGCAUCUGAUUAGCUUGUUGGCGGUGUAAUGGACCACCAAGGCGACGAUCAGUAGCUGGUUUGAGAGGAUGAUCAGCCACAAUGGGACUGAGACACGGCCCAUACUCCUACGGGAGGCAGCAGUAGGGAAUUUUGCGCAAUGGGCGAAAGCCCUGACGCAGCAACGCCGCGUGAACGAUUAAGCCCUUCGGGGUGUAAAGUUCUGUCAGUAGGGACGAAUUUUGACGGUACCUACAGAGGAAGCACCGGCUAACUCCGUGCCAGCCGCCGC
rnacentral:rRNA from 1 species